rnacentral:rRNA from 1 species
CAGUCGCCGCGGUAAUACGUAGGUGGCAAGCGUUAUCCGGAAUUAUUGGGCGUAAAGCGCGCGUAGGCGGUUUUUUAAGUCUGAUGUGAAAGCCCACGGCUCAACCGUGGAGGGUCAUUGGAAACUGGAAAACUUGAGUGCAGAAGAGGAAAGUGGAAUUCCAUGUGUAGCGGUGAAAUGCGCAGAGAUAUGGAGGAACACCAGUGGCGAAGGCGGCUUUCUGGUCUGCAACUGACGCUGAUGUGCGAAAGCGUGGGGAUCAAACAGGAUUAGAUACCCCGGUAGUCCCUGUCUCUUAUAC